UCCCCCCUUGCUCACAUGGAUGUUAGC
rnacentral:misc_RNA from 1 species